CAUUGAUCUGCCAUCAGGGACGGAGCAGAGAGACUCUGGACACGAGCCCAGGAGCAGCAGUGUGCAUUUCCAUGCUAUAAUCUCAUAGAUGCCAUUAAAACGCCUGGGCAGUGAGGACAGUUGAACACUGGCCCGGAGGCUGACAUGCUUGACAACAUUUUCAUCUCUGGUCAUUCAACGCCACCAGCUGAGCUCAACAACGCAAGACGUCAAACUAAACCUCACAAAAGAAACAAGAAAACAACAGCUAUAUAGUGCUGUAGCAAUACAGCCGACUUUCACUAUUCCCGUCUCGUGUUUCUAGUUGAUAAAAACCAAAUGUUUGUCAGAGGAAGAGCGGCAGAGUGGAUGUGAAGCUUUGUUAAUGCUCUGUCUUUAGAGCUUCUUCAGAGACGUGUGGACGAUGAUAAAACGGACUCUGAGAAUCUUCUGCAGGAGCUAUACUUUUUCAUUUUCAGCUGUACAGAUAUCAGGUGUGAAAUCCUAAGGUUAGGGGCCAGUUUGCUGGACAGUGUUGGAGAUGAACCAGGGCGCGCUGCAAUAACACACAUAGCACAAGAUGGUAGAAUCUCCACCCCUUGUCCUCUUGGUAUUUUGUCUCCAAGGAUGGGGUUGAUGGGAUGGCGUCGAUGGGAUCGCCACAACCUGGAACUCCUCGAAGGGAAAACG
rnacentral:lncRNA from 1 species